rnacentral:rRNA from 1 species
AUGCACCACGUCUCUGACCGCAAGGGAAGAGCGCUUUUAUUAGUUCAAAACCGGUCGGGCCUCGGUCCGUCACCCCACCGUGUUGAAUCUGAAUAACUUGUCGCUGAGCGCACGGUCUCCGCACCGGCGCCGCCUCUUUCAAGUGUCUGCCUUAUCAGCUUUCGAUUGUAGGUUAUACGCCUACAAUGGCUAUAACGGGUAACGGGGAAUCAGGGUUCGAUUCCGGAGAGGGAGCCUGAGAAACGGCUACCACAUCUAAGGAAGGCAGCAGGCACGCAAAUUACCCACUCCCGGCACGGGGAGGUAGUGACGAAAAAUAACGAUGCGAGACUCAUCCGAGGCCUCGCAAUCGGAAUGAGUACACUUUAAAUCCUUUAACGAGGAUCUAUUGGAGGGCAAGUCUGGUGCCAGCAGCCGCGGUAAUUCCAGCUCCAAUAGCGUAUAUUAAAGUUGUUGCRGUUAAAAAGCUCGUAGUUGGAUUUCAGUUCUGGACUGACGGUUCACCGCCCGGUGCACACUGUCACGCUCCGAACAGCCACAACAGCCCGCUGGCUCGCACGGGGUGCUCUUCAUCGAGUGUCCCGCGUGGCCGGCAGAGUUUACUUUGAAAAAAUUAGAGUGCUCAAAGCAGGCUACACUGACGGCCUGAAUGCCUAUGCAUGGAAUAAUGGAAUAGGACCUCGGUUCUAUUUUGUCGGUUUUCUGAACCCGAGGUAAUGACUAAUAGGAACAGGCGGGGGCAUUCGUAUUGCGACGCUAGAGGUGAAAUUCUUGGACCGUCGCAAGACGAACUACUGCGAAAGCAUUUGCCAAGGAUGUUUUCAUUAAUCAAGAACGAAAGUUAGAGGUUCGAAGGCGAUCAGAUACCGCCCUAGUUCUAACCAUAAACGAUGCUGACCAGCGAUCCGCCGGCGUUAUUCCCAUGACCCGGCGGGCAGCUUCCGGGAAACCAAAGUCUUUGGGUUCCGGGGGAAGUAUGGUUGCAAAGCUGAAACUUAAAGGAAUUGACGGAAGGGCACCACCAGGAGUGGAGCCUGCGGCUUAAUUUGACUCAACACGGGGAACCUCACCAGGCCCAGACACCGGAAGGAUUGACAGAUUGAGAGCUCUUUCUCGAUUCGGUGGGUGGUGGUGCAUGGCCGUUCUUAGUUGGUGGAGCGAUUUGUCUGGUUAAUUCCGAUAACGAACGAGACUCUGGCCUACUAACUAGUCGACGGAUCUCCAGCAAUUGGUGUCCAGUUCGCAGCUUCUUCUUAGAGGGAUAAGCGGCAAUUCUAGCCGCACGAGAUUGAGCAAUAACAGGUCUGUGAUGCCCUUAGAUGUUCUGGGCCGCACGCGCGCUACACUGAAGGGAUCAACGUGUCCUCCCCCUCCGAGAGGAGCGGGUAACCCGUUGAAAUCCUUUCAUGAUAGGGAUUGGGGUUUG